AUUGAACGCUGGCGGCAGGCCUAACACAUGCAAGUCGAGCGGAUGAAGGGAGCUUGCUCCUGGAUUCAGCGGCGGACGGGUGAGUAAUGCCUAGGAAUCUGCCUGGUAGUGGGGGAUAACGUCCGGAAACGGGCGCUAAUACCGCAUGCGUCCUGAGGGAGAAAGUGGGGGAUCUUCGGACCUCACGCUAUCAGAUGAGCCUAGGUCGGAUUAGCUAGUUGGUGGGGUAAAGGCCUACCAAGGCGACGAUCCGUAACUGGUCUGAGAGGAUGAUCAGUCACACUGGAACUGAGACACGGUCCAGACUCCUACGGGAGGCAGCAAUGGGGAAUAUUGGACAAUGGGCGAAAGCCUGAUCCAGCCAUGCCGCGUGUGUGAAGAAGGUCUUCGGAUUGUAAAGCACUUUAAGUUGGGAGGAAGGGCAGUAAGUUAAUACCUUGCUGUUUUGACGUUACCAACAGAAUAAGCACCGGCUAACUUCGUG
rnacentral:rRNA from 1 species